rnacentral:rRNA from 1 species
UACAGAGGGUGCAAGCGUUGUCCGGAAUUACUGGGCGUAAAGGGCGCGUAGGCGGCUUGAUAAGUCGGAGGUGAAAUCCCACGGCUCAACCGUGAAACUGCCUUCUAGACUGUCAGGCUUGAGCACGGUAGAGGCAGAUGGAAUUCCCGGUGUAGCGGUGGAAUGCGUAGAGAUCGGGAAGAACACCAGUGGCGAAGGCGGUCUGCUGGGCCGUUGCUGACGCUGAGGCGCGACAGCGUGGGGAGCAAACAGG